UACAGAGGUCUCAAGCGUUGUUCGGAUUCAUUGGGCGUAAGGGUGCGUAGGCGGCGCGGUAAGUCGGGUGUGAAAUCUUGGAGCUUAACUCCGAAACUGCAUUCGAUACUGCCGUGCUUGAGGACUGGAGAGGAGACUGGAAUUUACGGUGUAGCGGUGAAAUGCGUAGAUAUCGUAAGGAAGACCAGUGGCGAAGGCGGGUCUCUGGACAGUUCCUGACGCUGAGGCACGAAGUCCAGGGGAGCAAACGGG
rnacentral:rRNA from 1 species